CCAACCUCACGGCUUGGACCAUGGAAAUUCAAGUCCAAGUUUUGCCUCUCCAAAAUUAAUUCUUGGGUACAAACCCACUAUUUUGAGGUCCCUAAGUAGCGUGGAGGUGUCGUUGGAGCGAUCAAGUCCUUCAUUCAAGAGAUUGCAAACCCUAACCCAUUUGUGGAAUUGAAGGAGAAAGACCUUGGGGAGCCCGAGGCGUAGAUUGGGAUUUACUUAGAUUGGCUAUCUUGGAGUGCGUUCGAGGUACAGAUGCGCAGUUUGGUGAUCCACCAGUUUAGGACAUCAUCCUUUGCUGUUCGGAGUGCUCUUCUCACUUCAGAGCAUAUGUUUUGGUAUACAGUUUCGUUCGUUGUGUAUGUAUUUGUUCAGGGGUACGGCGGGGCCCUGUCCCGCCAUAUGAUUCGGUUGGUUUGUUUAGAGGUCUGUAGACGUAUUUGUGGGUGUGUGUGCCUACUUCUGUUCCGAUGUG